GGCGGCGUGCCUAAUACAUGCAAGUCGAGCGAACAGACGAGGAGCUUGCUCCUCUGACGUUAGCGGCGGACGGGUGAGUAACACGUGGAUAACCUACCUAUAAGACUGGGAUAACUUCGGGAAACCGGAGCUAAUACCGGAUAAUAUAUUGAACCGCAUGGUUCAAUAGUGAAAGACGGUUUUGCUGUCACUUAUAGAUGGAUCCGCGCCGCAUUAGCUAGUUGGUAAGGUAACGGCUUACCAAGGCAACGAUGCGUAGCCGACCUGAGAGGGUGAUCGGCCACACUGGAACUGAGACACGGUCCAGACUCCUACGGGAGGCAGCAGUAGGGAAUCUUCCGCAAUGGGCGAAAGCCUGACGGAGCAACGCCGCGUGAGUGAUGAAGGUCUUCGGAUCGUAAAACUCUGUUAUUAGGGAAGAACAAAUGUGUAAGUAACUAUGCACGUCUUGACGGUACCUAAUCAGAAAGCCACGGCCAACUACGUGCCAGCAGCCGCGGUAAUACGUAGGUGGCAAGCGUUAUCCGGAAUUAUUGGGCGUAAAGCGCGCGUAGGCGGUUUUUAAGUCUGAUGUGAAAGCCCACGGCUCAACCGUGGAGGGUCAUUGGAAACUGGAAAACUUGAGUGCAGAAGUGGAAAGUGGAAUUCCAUGUGUAGCGGUGAAAUGCGCAGAGAUAUGGAGGAACACCAGUGGCGAAGGCGACUUUCUGGUCUGUAACUGACGCUGAUGUGCGAAAGCGUGGGGAUCAAACAGGAUUAGAUACCCUGGUAGUCCACGCCGUAAACGAUGAGUGCUAAGUGUUAGGGGGUUUCCGCCCCUUAGUGCUGCAGCUAACGCAUUAAGCACUCCGCCUGGGGAGUACGACCGCAAGGUUGAAACUC
rnacentral:rRNA from 1 species